GGUGAAGCCAAGCUUGCUUGGUGGAUCAGUGGCGAACGGGUGAGUAACACGUGAGCAACCUGCCCUGGACUCUGGGAUAAGCGCUGGAAACGGCGUCUAAUACUGGAUAUGAGACGUGAUCGCAUGGUCGUGUUUGGAAAGAUUUUUCGGUCUGGGAUGGGCUCGCGGCCUAUCAGCUUGUUGGUGAGGUAAUGGCUCACCAAGGCGUCGACGGGUAGCCGGCCUGAGAGGGUGACCGGCCACACUGGGACUGAGACACGGCCCAGACUCCUACGGGAGGCAGCAGUGGGGAAUAUUGCACAAUGGGCGGAAGCCUGAUGCAGCAACGCCGCGUGAGGGAUGACGGCCUUCGGGUUGUAAACCUCUUUUAGCAGGGAAGAAGCGAAAGUGACGGUACCUGCAGAAAAAGCGCCGGCUAACUACGUGCCAGCAGCCGCGGUAAUACGUAGGGCGCAAGCGUUAUCCGGAAUUAUUGGGCGUAAAGAGCUCGUAGGCGGUUUGUCGCGUCUGCUGUGAAAUCCCGAGGCUCAACCUCGGGCCUGCAGUGGGUACGGGCAGACUAGAGUGCGGUAGGGGAGAUUGGAAUUCCUGGUGUAGCGGUGGAAUGCGCAGAUAUCAGGAGGAACACCGAUGGCGAAGGCAGAUCUCUGGGCCGUAACUGACGCUGAGGAGCGAAAGGGUGGGGAGCAAACAGGCUUAGAUACCCUGGUAGUCCACCCCGUAAACGUUGGGAACUAGUUGUGGGGACCAUUCCACGGUUUCCGUGACGCAGCUAACGCAUUAAGUUCCCCGCCUGGGGAGUACGGCCGCAAGGCUAAAACUCAAAGGAAUUGACGGGGACCCGCACAAGCGGCGGAGCAUGCGGAUUAAUUCGAUGCAACGCGAAGAACCUUACCAAGGCUUGACAUAUACGAGAACGGGCCAGAAAUGGUCAACUCUUUGGACACUCGUAAACAGGUGGUGCAUGGUUGUCGUCAGCUCGUGUCGUGAGAUGUUGGGUUAAGUCCCGCAACGAGCGCAACCCUCGUUCUAUGUUGCCAGCACGUAAUGGUGGGAACUCAUGGGAUACUGCCGGGGUCAACUCGGAGGAAGGUGGGGAUGACGUCAAAUCAUCAUGCCCCUUAUGUCUUGGGCUUCACGCAUGCUACAAUGGCCGGUACAAAGGGCUGCAAUACCGUAAGGUGGAGCGAAUCCCAAAAAGCCGGUCCCAGUUCGGAUUGAGGUCUGCAACUCGACCUCAUGAAGUCGGAGUCGCUAGUAAUCGCAGAUCAGCAACGCUGCGGUGAAUACGUUCCCGGGUCUUGUACACACCGCCCGUCAAGUCAUGAAAGUCGGUAACACCUGAAGCCGGUG
rnacentral:rRNA from 2 species